UACGGAGGGUGCGAGCGUUGUCCGGAUUUAUUGGGUUUAAAGGGUGCGUAGGCGGCCCUCUAAGUCUUCGGUGAAACCCACGGGCUCAACCCGUGGAGUGCCGGGGAUACUGGGGGGCUUGGAUUUCCUCUGGGCGGGCGGAAUGGAAGGUGUAGCGGUGAAAUGCAUAGAUAUCUACCAGAACGCCGAUAGCGAAGGCAGCUCGCUGGGACGUGACUGACGCUGAGACGCGAAAGCGUGGGGAGCAAACAGG
rnacentral:rRNA from 1 species